ACGCAGCGAAAUGCGAUAAGUAAUGUGAAUUGCAGAAUUCAGUGAAUCAUCGAAUCUUUGAACGCACCUUGCGCCCCUUGGUAUUCCGAGGGGCAUGCCUGUUUGAGUGUCAUUAAAUUCUCAACUUCAAAAGUUUUUGCUUCUGAAGCUUGGACUGUGGAGGCUUGCUGGCAUCACUAGAUGUUCUCAGCUCCUCUCAAAUGCAUUAGCGGAAACCGGAUUAGUCGGACCUAAGCCUUGGUGUGAUAAUUAUCUACGCCUUGGUGGUUUGACAAGGCUCUUUGGUUGGGAUAGCUGCAACUCAGGUUGCUCUGUCUGCUUUCAUUUCAAAGAGCUGUGGAGGUGUCUGCUCUCUAAUCGUCUGUUUUCACGGACAAACUAACAUUGACUUGUUUGA
rnacentral:sRNA from 1 species